UUAAGUUUAGACUAAAAAAGUCAUAAGACUCAUAAUCUUAAAAUUUAAGCUUAUA
rnacentral:tRNA from 1 species